GUGAACGCUGCAAAUAAUGACAUUUUUUAAUUGUGUUAUAUUUGUGUUACUUAUUAUAAUAUUAAUUACUUGUAGGUUUCAUCUUCACUGUGUUUCUUCUUGCAAUAAUUCAACUGCUGGAAAACCUUGAUCAACUUGAGUAAUCAUGAAACAACCUGGGAGAGAAUGAAAAAUGCUUUGAAUACCUCUGCAGUGAUCAGCACUGAUUCGCUUCCAGGAUUUGAAUACCAACCCUUCACCUUCUCUUCUGUCUUCUACCAGUUCAUCCUGUAAGUCAACUUCUUCCUCUGUAUCCACACCUUCA